rnacentral:rRNA from 1 species
UACGGGGGGGGCAAGCGUUGUUCGGAAUUACUGGGCGUAAAGCGCAUGUAGGCGGCAGCGCAAGUCGGGCGUGAAAUCCCACGGCUCAACCGUGGAAGUGCACUCGAAACUGCGCAGCUAGAGUCCUGGAGAGGAAGGUGGAAUGCUUGGUGUAGAGGUGAAAUUCGUAGAUAUCAAGCGGAACACCGGUGGCGAAGGCGGCCUUCUGGACAGUGACUGACGCUGAGAUGCGAAAGCGUGGGGAGCAAACAGG